rnacentral:rRNA from 1 species
UACGGAGGGGGCUAGCGUUGUUCGGAAUACUGGGCGUAAAGCGCGCGUAGGCGGACCUGCAAGUCGGGGGUGAAAGCCCGAGGCUCAACCUCGGAACUGCCUUCGAUACUGCGGGUCUCGAGUCCGGGAGAGGUGAGUGGAAUUCCUAGUGUAGAGGUGAAAUUCGUAGAUAUUAGGAAGAACACCAGUGGCGAAGGCGGCUCACUGGCCCGGUACUGACGCUGAGGCGCGAAAGCGUGGGGAGCAAACAGG